UUGUUUCACCAGAGUUGAUUUGUACAAAAAAAAAUAACAUUACUUUAUACAGCUGUUAAAAACAUAAACUUUGACAAAUAUGAAAUCACCAAUAAACUGUCUAUAGGCCUGUCGAGAUCUUGUGAUGGAGGACGUACAUUUGCAGUCCCCGACGUGGAUGCAAAGGCGCUCUGCUCCGUGUUGGUAGCAGCAGUGCUGGGCUCAACAGUGGAUUCAGAAAAAUGCGCUGCGGCAGGCGUUUGUGCUAUUUAAUGAGCCACCUAUGCAUUGCUUUUUUUUUGUGUUACCUAACCAGUUAAUAAAACUGUUUGUAUCACAAUGAUUGUGUACCUUUUUACAAGACAACUGCAGUAACUAGACUAGCGAUUUAACUAGCUAGCAGCCAAUACAGUAACUAGCAGGCAAGCACAAGCAGCCUGCUGUAACUACUGGACUUAGCUGACGAUUAACGUGAUCUUUAACAAAUCAAGUAAAUGCUCAGAAGAAAUGUGCAAACUCAACUGAAUCUGCAGGACUAUUAGAAAAUGUAUAAGAACUAGAGAAUGAGGAAGAAUCAAAGUUAUGAGCUGUUUUAAUUUGAUUGAAGAAGGCUGCCAACAGGUUCAAACUUUACUGCAUGGGCAUGCAGUGAACUGUGCGUGGUGCAAAUGGUGCUUUCCUAGUUGAGUGGAGGAGGCACUAACUGACACGCCCCUACUCAAACGGGCCAAUUGGAAAGCAGUGCAGUUCUGAUGAUUGUUCUGUAACCUAAAGGAGAAGAGUAAGGUGGGAAAAUGCAGAUAGAUAAACUUUGCAGAUAGAUGGCUUUAGUUAUUCCACCUGAGUCUUGAGGGACUCUGUGGAAAUACAAGACAAUACUGGAGUAGUGAUGUAACCGGCUCUUCGAAGUGAACAAUCGGAGCCUGCCUGGGGGCUGGAGCUGCUCUGUGUUUUUUUUCUCUAAUUGUUUCUGUUCAAGCCGCACGUGAUUGGUCAGCUACAUGAUGUGUGGUGGAGUCUGUGUAUGUGCACUGAGCAGGAGGGGGAGAAGCGGGGGUUACGGACACAGCACACACGCUCGGAGAGAGAGAGAGAGUUCAUCAACUGCGGCAAAACCCCACAGUUCAGUGGCAGCAUCUCCAGGUGCCUGCAUUCUCCACCACUGUCACCAGCAAUAAGGCUCUGGAGAUAGAGAUGCAGGAAUAUCCCUCAUCAGGGAAAGUUAUAGGAGGGAAGAGGGGAGGUGUGUGGCUCAAGGCCUGAGCCUCAGCAGAAUAACCACACACCCAUGGGCCCUUGAGCAAAGCCUUUAACCCCCAGCUCUACAGGCACUGUAGGUGGCUGCUGUCAUCUGUAUGUGUCAAGGACAUCAGCAUGGGGUUGGCAAAAAGAGAAUUUCCCCACAGGGAUUAAUAAAGUAUCACUCAUUAAUUUCAGUAGCACAAAGACAGAAAACAAUAGAUACCUGCCCUCUUUUCAGGGCUUCUCUUCUCUUCCCUUCACCCGGGCUUCUCUGCAUGGGCUUUAGGCUUCAGCAAAGGGGACUGAAUGGGGCAAUCGAGAGCUGCCAGCUGUGCCCUGUUGUCACCCCACUGUCAUGAUCAGGAUGCCAACCUUCAAAACAGUUCCUGUCUGGUUGAAGAUACACAUCACAUGCUUUGCCCUUCCAAGCAGUUUUUGUAUGUAUAAUACUGUUGUAGCGUCGGUGAAAUGGCUCCACUAUGUGGAGCCUAUUAACAUGCCCGGCAUGCUUGCGAGCUAUGUACAGUACAUAGCUCUGUUUGUUUUCCGUGUUGUAAAUACUUGGGCUGUGUCUUUGGUUCAUGUAAGUGUGUUUACCUGUGUGUGCCCCAAUCUGUGCCAGUUACUCACGUGUUUCUGUGGUCUCUGUAAGUAGUUAUCAUCUGUGUACUGUACAGUCCAGCUUCAGACCUUGUGUUUCUCAGUUUUAUGCAAUAGGAGUGUGGUUGAUAUUUCUGUGCAGCGCCUUUAUGGGCUACAAAAAAGCUGCUUUGUUCGGAAACUGUCAUUUUUAGUUUUGUUUCUGCCGCUGCCAUGCUUCAGUUUGCUAAAUGCCACAAUGGAAUAAUGAAAAAAUAUAUUUAUAUUUUACUGCUGAACUGGGGCACAUGUUCCAAAAGCUCCCAUUACCAAAUUAGAUUCAAUUAUGUGGUUCUAAAUGCGUAAGUCGCUAAUGUAAUUAGCAACUAUGCUUUUGGGAAACAUACCCCAGUCCAUUGCAUCAUUUAUGUGAAUUACACAAAAAUUUUUACAGCAAAAGUUUAUAUUUUAAAUAAACAUUAUUUUCAACAAA